ensembl:lncRNA
CUUGGGUCUUUUGAGAAAGAGCUACUCUUCUCCCUGUUUGACUUUGCAAUCAAUGCUAUAUUUUCCUUCACCAUAGUCUGGUGCCGGUUAAGUCGGCUUUGCUGUGCGGCAUGAGAAUCCAAGUUUAGUUCCACAAAAAUUGUGGUGAUUACCGAGGGAGAGCAAACCUUGAGUGAGUAUCUUACCUUGGCACACGGACUCCUUACUAGCUACGUCACUUGGAUCCUCUCCAGCCAAGCCUGGACAUGUUUGCCUCACAGACUGUCCUGAGCACUUGCCGCGAAGGCACAUCUGCCUACGUGCUUUCCAUUCCCACAUUCCCUGAUGAAGGAAACAAAAGAUCCUGCUGUGUAAGAUACUUCUGGCGGUUCCUAUCCAGUUUACCACCAGGGAAGUCUGGUCAUCUGAUUUUGAGCAGAGCGCUGCUAACACAGGAAGCGGGCACAGGUACAUGCUCAGUUGUGUUCAACUCUUUUGUUACUCCAUGAACUGUAGGCUGCCAGGCUCCUCUGUCCACGGGGUUUUUCAGGCAAGAAUACUGGAGUGAGUUGCCAUUUCCUCCUCCAGGGGAUCUUCCAGACCCAGGGAUCCAACCCAUGUCUCCUGCGCCAUAUCAACUAAAAAGAUGCACAGUGUGAGAGCUGUAACUUAAGUUCUGUUUGGGGCAAAGAUGAGGACUGCAGCCCAAGAGAUAGGACCUCAGAUAGCUCUGAAAGACUGCUCCAAAGAGGCAGUGAGGAUCAGUAUAUAAGAUUUUGGUGAAGAGGGAGGGAGUUCAAUGCAAUUAAGUACUUCCUUUACAAAAGGUUUUCUACUAGUCAUGAGGAGCUAAUGUCACCCUGAAAUGAUUUAGUGCUUUUCUAGAUAUGGGGAGAUGCAAGGACUGAGAUCAUGAAAUCAGUCCCUGAAAAUAUCUAACUAUCUAAAGACCUGUUGCACCAGUUUCCCUGGAGCACAGAGUGCCUUACUCUCCACCCUGAAUUCCCCUUAGGGGGUGUGGCAGCAGCAGGAGCCCAGGGUUUAA